rnacentral:rRNA from 1 species
GACGAACGCUGGCGGCGUGCUUAACACAUGCAAGUCGAACGGAAAGGCCCUGCUUGCAGGGUGCUCGAGUGGCGAACGGGUGAGUAACACGUGGGUGAUCUGCCCCUUAUUUUGGGAUAAGCCUGGGAAACUGGGUCUAAUACUGGAUAGGACCAUGCUGUAGGUGGUGUGGUGGAAAGAUUAGUUUCGGUAAGGGAUGAGCUCGCGGCCUAUCAGCUUGUUGGUGGGGUAAUGGCCUACCAAGGCGUCGACGGGUAGCCGGCCUGAGAGGGUGGACGGCCACAUUGGGACUGAGAUACGGCCCAGAAGCCUACGGGAGGCAGCAGUGGGGAAUAUUGCACAAUGGGCGCAAGCCUGAUGCAGCGACGCCGCGUGGGGGAUGACGGCCUUCGGGUUGUAAACUCCUUUCAGCCAUGACGAAGCCCUUGUGGUGACGGUAGUGGUAGAAGAAGCACCGGCUAACUACGUG